CACGGGGGCAAACAGGGGGCCGUGCCCUGCGGCGGCCCUUGGCAUGGGAGGGCCCUGGGGAGCUGCUCCUUUCUUCUUGUGGGGCCUGAGACUGGAGUAGCCCCAGCCAAGCACGUAGCUGACAGUGCCAGAGGCUGUUUCUGGCCACUCGACUCUCAAGGUUUCUGGGCUGCCAGGUGUCUACGUGUGAGGAAGCCUGCACAUUUACACGGCUGCAUGAUCCUAGCAUGUGAACUAUCCACUCAGACCACCGCCUCCAGUGGAAACUACAUCUAGAGACUACAUACUUACAAGAGGAGGAACCUUCUGCUUCCUAUGUUUAAAUGCAUGCUCCACACCAUUCUACUUUUAUCUGGGUCAUUGGAGCUGUGGUGUCAGAUGUCGCCUGACCAGCCUAUUUAGUGUCGGACCACUUUGGUAGUUUUGCCUGUUACCAACCAACUUUUGGAAAGGUAAGAUGGGGUGGGGAAGAUGAAUAAGAAAUUUAGGGAAUUUUAGUAAUUAUUACACAUUAUCCAUGUCUGCAAGUGAACCCUAAACAAUUAGAUCUUAAGAACAGUU